AGGACGAACGUUGGUCGGCGUGCCUAACACAUGCAAGUCGAACGAAAGUAGCAAUACUUUAGUGGCGCACGGGUGAGUAACACGUAGCUUACCUCCCUCUCAGCGCGGGAUAACGACUCGAAAGAGUUGCUAAUACCGCAUAAGCUCACGGGUUCUAGAGACUUGUGAGAAAAGGUGCAAAUCACUGAGAGGACGGGGCUGCGGCCCAUCAGCUAGUUGGCGCGGAAAGGCGCACCAAGG
rnacentral:rRNA from 1 species